GCCAAGACUAGCCCCAAGCACAAUCAACACUAAUAACAAGUCAACACACACUAAACCAUUUACCUACACAAAGUAUAGGCGAUAGAAAUUUUAACCUGGCGCUAUAGAAACAGUACCGUAAGGGAAAGAUAAAAACCACCCAAGCAUAAAACAGCAAGGACUGACCCCUGUACCUUUCGCAUAAUGGAUUAGCUAGAAACAAUUUUACAAAGAGAACUACAAGCCAAAUUCCCCGAAACCAGACGAGCUACCCAAAAACAGCUAAAAGAGCGCACCCGUCUAUGUAGCAAAAUAGUGGGAGGAUUUUUGGGUAGAGGUGACAAGCCUACCGAGCCUGGUGAUAGCUGGUUAUCCAAGACAGAAUCUUAGUUCAACCUUAAGCUUACCUACAGAACCACUUAAUCCCCCUGUAAGCUUAAUUGUUAGUCUAAAGAGGGACAGCUCUUUAGACACUAGGAAAAAACCUUACGGAGAGAGUAAAAACCCCAAUCACCACAGUUGGCCUAAAAGCAGCCAUCAGUUAAGAAAGCGUUCAAGCUCAACAUCAACCACCUCAAAAAAUACCGAACACAUAACUGAACUCCUCACACCACAUUGGAUUAAUCUAUCACCAUAUAGAAGCAAUAAUGCUAGUAUAAGUAACAUGAAUAUUUUCUCCACUGCAUAAGCCUAAAUCGGACCGAAAGCCUCACCGAUACUUAACAGCCAAGCAUAGCAAACACAAACAAGUCCAUGCCAUCUUCACUGUUAACCCAACACAGGCAUGCCUCAAGGAAAGGUUAAAAAAAGUAAAAGGAACUCGGCAAACUCAAACCCCGCCUGUUUACCAAAAACAUCACCUCUAGCAUUACUAGUAUUAGAGGCACUGCCUGCCCGGUGACACACGUUUAACGGCCGCGGUACCCUGAC
rnacentral:rRNA from 1 species